UUUUGUCUUUCUAUUCCCAUCACAUAGUACAGUGCCUGGAACAUGGUCUGCAUUUAUUACAUUUUUGCUUAUUGAUUUAACCAAAUGGAAAAACCUAGUAAUUUUUUCUUCUUUGCUUUUCCUCUUUGUUAUACUGAAAAUUAUAGACAGUUCAUUUUUUUUUCAUUUUUUUGAGAGGCAUUUUUAAUUGAGUGACUUGCCCAGAGUCCUGCAGUUAGAAAGUUCCUACAGAGCUCAGGUCCUCUAAUUCCAAGGCUGAUGCUCUAUCCAGUGUGCUAUCUACCUGCUUCAACAAUUCACUUUUGGGAGCAGAGCCAAGAUGACAGAGAAAACACAUGCAACAUUCUAAACUCCUUUCAUACCCUACUAUUAAUUAUCAAAUUCAGCCUCAAAAAUAGCACUUGACUGGUAAAAUUCACAAAGAUUGGAAGUACAACAACUUACCAGCCGAAGAUAAUCUAGAAGAUAACCAGAAAAGAUUUAUCCUGAGUGGCAGGAGCAAGCCAGCGCAAGCAGGGAGAUAGGAGAGGCUAGCAUACUGAGCGGAUUGGGGCAGGGGGGUCUCUUGUGUCUGGAAAAUUUACAAGGAGGACUUUACCACAGAUUGGAUGCUCUGCUUUGGUUGCAAAGCAGUAGACCAGAAGAGAAAUUAAAGCCAAAGGUAGAGUGUACUCCAAAAGAUGCCAGAAUCUAACAGGAUCUGGCUAAACACACACAGCACCUUAAGUGAGUGACUCAGCACAGACCACAGCACAGCUAUGCAGCCACAUUCUAUAGCACAAUCACAAAUCCGCAGGGGAAUGGGGCUUACAUGGGGCAGUCUCUAAUCUGCAUGGGUGGAGGGGAGGGUCGACCUGGGUAAUAGAACUUCUGCAGUACAACUGCGCUCCCCAGGAAUUCCAGUGAGGUGUGGGCUCUUCCCAGGGCAAUUGCUAAUCCCCAUGGAGGGGUUCUUCUUGGAGCAGUGACUUUCACUGCUCAGCCUCUAGCCCUAGGGCAGUCACUAAUCCACACUGUGGGGUUCUUAGUAGGGCAUCUCCCCAGCUCAGUCCAUGCAAUACAGGGCAGAGACACUUCCAGUGUGGAGCUUUUCCCAGAAUAUUUCCGCAGCUUGGCCACUCUUUGCAGCCUGUUUGCAGGACAGCUACUAUCUAUAUAUCUGUCCCUGCUCUGCAGAGGAAGUUGGUAAUCUCCUUGCCCUGAAGGUAGAGCACAAGGGUUUUUUAAAAAAAUGAAUAAAAAAGCCAAACAGACCACCAAUAGCUUCCAUAGAGAAAGAGGAUUAAUAGCAGACAGUCUCCAGACAAAAUCCCAAAGGGGAAUGUAACCUGAUCCCCAUCACACAAGGCUGUCUUAGAAGAAACUAUAAAAAAAUAUUAAAAGAGAGCUAGAAGAAAAAUGAGGAAAGAAAAGCUAUGUGAGAGAGUACAGAAAAGACUUUUAACUCACUUAAAGAAAAAUUUAAUAAAGUGGAAAAAGAAAACAAGUUCCUGAAAUGUGAAUUGAAAAAGGUAAAGAACUCCUAGGGAGUGCAGGAAAACAGAAUUUGUUAAUUGGAAAAGGUAAAGAACUCCCAGGAAGUAGGAUUUGUGAAUUGGAAAAAAUAAAGAACUCCCAAGAAAGUAGAAUUUAUGAAUUGGAAAAAGAAACUAACUCAGUAAAAAAAAAAAAAAAAUUAGUGAAAUGGAAAAAAAUUCCAUAGAGUAAAACAAUUCAUUUAAAAACUCAAUUGGACAUAUGCAAAAAGAAUUUUAAAAAGCUAAUGAAGAAAAUAACUCAUCAAAAAUCAGAACUGAACAAUUAGAAAUGAAUGAUUUGUUGAGACAUCAAGAAUCAGUAAAGCAAAACCAAAAAAAUAGGAAAAAAUGUGAAAUAUUUACUUGGAAAAACAGACCUGGAAAGAAGACCUAGGAGAGAUAAUCUGAGAUUUAUUAGACUUCCUGAAAAUUAUAAUGAAAAAAAGAGCCUAGAUACUAUUUUACAGGAAAUCAUCAAAGAGAACUGCCCGGAUGUAAUAGAAUCACAAGGUAAAUUAGGCAUUGAAAGAAUUCAUCGAACACCUUCUGAAAAAGACACUAAAAUAAAAACUCCAAGGAAUAUUGUGGCUAAAUUUCAGAACUAUCAGACUAAAUAAAAAAAUAUUACAAGCAGCCAGAAAAAAACAAUUCAAAUACUGAGUUGCCACAAUAAGGAUCACUCAAGAUAGCUGCUUCCACAUUAAAAGAUUGAAGGGGCUGGAAUCUGAUAUUCCAUAAGGCAAAAGAACUUGGAAUGCAGACAAGAAUAAACUACCUAGCUAAGCUGAGCAUUUUCUUCCAGGGAAGAAGAUGGACAUUUAAUGAAACUGAUGAAUUCCAUUUGUUUCUAAGGAAAAAACCAGAACUAAACAAAAAAUUUGAUCUUCAACUAUAAGACUCAAGAGAAGCAGAAAAAGAUCAUCUUGUGUAGAGGGAUGAUUCUAUUGGGUUGAUGCACUGAAGUCGGGACUGCUGAGUGCUUGAGGCUAACUACUGAUUGGACAAUACUCUAUGGCUAUAUACUUGGAAAAUGGUCCUUUCCACUGUCCGUACUGGCUCAAGGAUUGGUGUAUAGAGGGAGGCUAGGGGGUGGAGUAAGACUAGCCAGGGUCACACUCUUGGUGGUAGGCGAGGGAGAAGGUGGUCUCGGAGAUUCUGCUUCCAUUCUGUUCAAUCCUGCGUCUAAAGACUGAGAAUAAAGAUUAAAGACUUUUGCUUA